UCCCUGGUGGAUCAGACGGUAAAGCGUCUGCCUGCAAUGCAGGUGACCUGGGUUCAAUCCCUGGCUUGGGAA
rnacentral:tRNA from 1 species